AUGGCUCGAGGGGAUCGGCCCGUUACCUACCCAUUUAAGAAGGCCACCAGCUACGCACGGGUUUCAAAAAAAAAAAACUACGCACGGGGUCAGUCUCGCCGCGGGCAGAACGCCGGCGAGCAGUUCUACAAGUGCCCUCCCCCCAAUGUACACCCGAUUUCUUGCUGGAUCUCUAAAUUGGUUCUUCUCGCACCAAUAGCAGCCGGCAGCUGGUGGAUGAAAUUUUCACACGUAGCUGCGUUGGGAUGGCGGCACACCCAUUGGUGCAAAUCCAGCCGGAGCCUGUCACUGAACCUCCCCGUGGUGUUUCAUUUUUUUUUCUGGACAAGCGGUGGCGCCUAA
rnacentral:rRNA from 1 species